UACGAAGGGGGCUAGCGUUGUUCGGAAUCACUGGGCGUAAAGCGCACGCAGGCGGAUUGAUAAGUCAGGGGUGAAAUCCCGGAGCUCAACUUCGGAAUUGCCUUUGAUACUGUCUGUCUUGAGUCCGGGAGAGGUGAGUGGAAUUCCUAGUGUAGAGGUGAAAUUCGUAGAUAUCGGGAGGAACACCAGUGGCGAAGGCGGCGAUCUGGGCAGACACUGACGCUGAGGUGCGAAAGCGUGGGGAGCAAACAGG
rnacentral:rRNA from 1 species